UUUCCCAAUACCCCAAGAAUACAUAUUCUCUAUUUUUCCCACAGGUCAUGGUUCUGGGAAUGACCUAAGGACAGGAAAGGAAGCUGUCCCCAGGGUUCUCAGGUUAGGGAGGGACAUAAAAGUCACACAGUUUCUUAGACAUGUCAGUGGCUGUAAACAUAGGGCUGGGGGGCCUCUUUGCUCUAGAGGGGAUCUUGGUCCAUUCUUGAUCAGGGGAAAGGUGCCUAACUCUUUUUAGACCUAUGAGCAGUCCCGAGGGGGUCAUGGAAGCUGGUAUCCAAGGGCUAGUGAGGGAGUUACCCUCAGAGUUCACAACAGUCUACACUGAUUUGUAUGCCCUCCCUUGCAACAACCCUACCUUGCAGAACACUACUCCUCUCACUCCCAGACAGUCCCUAGGGUUCAACAGCAGGAACCAAAUUUCAGGUCCGUUCCUGCCGAAGGGUGGUUAUCGCCUAUGUGAACCAGCCUCACAGUCAGUAACUAGGUACAUGGGCUGCAGCAGAAACAAGUGAUUUUGUCGGGGCAAAUCUGAUCUGUUGGGC
rnacentral:lncRNA from 14 species